CCUACGGGGGGCUGCAGUGGGAAUAUUGCACAAUGGGUGAAACCCUGAUGCAGCAACGCCGCGUGAGUGAAGAAGUAUUUCGGUAUGUAAAGCUCUCUCAGCAGGGAAGAAGAUGACGGUACCUGAUUAAGAAGCCCCGGCUAACUACGUGGCAGCAGCCGCGGUAAUACGUCGGGGGCAAGCGGUAUCCGGAUUUACUGGGGGUAAAGGGAGCGCAGACGGCAGUGCAAGUCUGGAGGGAAGGACCGGGGCCCAACCCCGGAACUGCUCUGGAAAAUGUGCGGCGCGAGUACUGGAGGGGCAGGCGGAAGUCCUAGGGUAGCGGGGAAAUGCGUAGAUAUUAGGAGGAACACCAGUGGCGAAGGCGGCCUGCUGGACAGUAACUGACGUUGAGGCUCGAAAGCGUGGGGAGCAAACAGGAUUAGAUACCCUAGUAGUC
rnacentral:rRNA from 1 species